GUUAAUUCGUAAAGCCGUUUACUAAAGUAGCCGAGCGGUCGGUUUUGAGGGGGAUCGGUUUUUGUAAUUUCCCAGCCCAGUGACGGGUGAUGUUAUCUUAACUUGGUAAUUUCAGUGAGGCAUUUAAAUGAUUCAAAGGCUAUUUUCAAACAACAUUUAGGCUACAAACCAUCAGAACGGAACACAAUUUAGUUGAGCAGCCUGAUCUCACCAAUAAAGGAGUAAAAUGACACGCCGGUUUCUUAAAUUGGCGUGUUAUUUGACGCAUUUCAUGCUUUUGGCGUACAAUGUCACGCUCUUAAGCGCCCACAUAGCCUACUUCCAAUGUAUAGGGAAACAGCGUGUCUGUCCAUUUACGCCAGGCAAAAUGCUAGAACGUUUUAGGGAUUUUCAUGUGUCCAACGAAGCUUUCUCUCGAAACCUUUUAAUGUUAGUGAACGGUUGAAUGUCAGGGUGGGGUAAGCCCAUCGGACAUUUAUUUGCAUGUUUCAUUUAAUCAAUAAUAAACCUUUACUUGUGUAAUUCCUGUACACCUGUCAAUCUUGAUGUGCCAACAAUGACAUUUUGAUCGAUUGCACAUGUCUAGUGGCAAAAUUCGUCAUUCGCUCCAGCUGAUUGCUGUCAUGUGACACACGCAACCACAAGAAAACGGAAGCGAGACGAGCCAUGUGGGAUCCUUGCUCCUGAUAUCCUGAAGUAUGGCUUGCAUUUCAUUAUAUGACUCCAACAGUACACUCACAGAAAGGAGAGUGGUGUCAAACUACAAGACCGCCAGCAUGUAAACAAGGCCUUUGUUUGUCCUUGUUUGGCUACUCAUUUGUCUACUUCCUGAAGAGGCUGAAGCAUGCUGGCAUUGACACCUCAGUCCUUGCUUCCAUUAACAGUUGUGUUAUGGAGCAUAUCGUCAUAUCAUGGUCUACUGCAACGGCAAUUGGCAGGCAGUGUGCUGUGAGGACUGCUGCCCUGAUUCAUACAGAAGAAGUUCCAAGCCCGCAAUGGGCUCCAUCAACUGUCCAGGGUGAAGUCGGUCUGUACUGAUUGCACUACCUUCUACUUGAUGAUGUCUGGUAGCCGUGGCUACUGCCCUCAACCUGGUACACUUGACACUUGACAUUUACUGCCAAAAGGUACCAUCAGAGCACCUCUCUGCAGGACAUCUAUACCAGAAGAGUACAGAGGCCCAAAAUAUUUCAAAAGACAUUUCACACCCUGACCAUGGACUGUUUAAACCACUGAGGUCAAGCAGACGUCUCUGUUCCCACAUGGCUAGAACAGACUGAGAAGGAGUUUCUUUCCUGAAGCCAUCUGCAUCCCGAUCACACAUAACUCUUUAAACUACAUUAUAUAGACUUGCCAUACUGCACUUACACACACUGCUCUGUUUACCACCUGAAAAGAUUGUUGGUGCAAUGUCUCAGGUUUUGUUCAAAUCAUGUCUACUGUAUAUCAAGGAUGGUUCCCAAAAUCAACGCCUGUUCGCCAGGCUCAUUUUCUGCAAGGCCCUUGAUUUGGGGAAAAGUGUGAAAACCAGUGACAUUAAGGGUAUGAACUUCUUUUUGUACACAUUUACAUACUAUGGGUUAUUAAUGUUGUGCCAAUAUUUUAGCUCUCCAUAUAUAAUGUUGACACAAAAAUAUGUUUACAAGGCCCAUAGUAUCACCAGUUUUGCACCGUGUUCCUUAUCUAGGGCCUCAUAUAAAAUUAAUGGGUAUGCACUACAAACAACGGUCCAGUCAUACUGAGAACAUGUCUGUCUUUCAUCUUCCACCAAGUUUGGACAAGCUAGGAACAAUAUUUUUUAAAUAUAUCAAUGCCUAAAGAUGGCCUCCAAGAUAAGGAAUUUCUGAGAGUGAAAAUGAUACAAAAUCAAGGGUUAAAAGGGGUAUGGAAUUAUAAAAUUGAGCAAAAAUAUUUUACAGGUCUUGGUUUUGGGACUUAAAGGUAGUCAAGAGCAAAAUCUGAGACGGUGCAGCAACUGUUUUCCUGGAUUUUAUCUGACUUCAAACAGAAUGACCACCCUUCCCUAUCGUUAAAUUACAUGUAUUUCUAAAUCCUUCUUUCUUUAUCCUGUACACCUCUGCACAGGCAAGUUGAGAAGCUGAAUGCCAGUUCUCUAUGUAUUUUACAAUGAUAUCUCUGUAUCUGACAAUUCCUUGAAUCCUUGACAGAAGGCUCAAUUUUGUAUUGUGAUAUUUUGUGAUGUCUACAGAAAUAAAAAAUACUUGUUACCGA